rnacentral:sRNA from 1 species
GCACCUGCCAAAUCAGGUGUCGGAAUUGGCGUUCCGAUUUUCAAGAGUGGCAAGAACACGCACUGCUACAAAAAAUGCGUGUGUUUU